AUCUUCAAAAUUGUGAGUGACCAUUUGUGAUCACACAUCAAUACCAGUCUCCACACAGUUAUAUGCUAUGUUUUUUAUUUGUAUUUAGCAGAUUGUCCCCUAUUUUUCUGUGUGUUCAUUUAAAGUGUACCUGUCCUGGUAAUACAAGUUUAUUUAAAAUUUGAACCACAUAAAAUGUCUGCUAAAUAUUCCGUGAUCAGAAUCACUAGUCAAUAUAUAGAUUUGAUGACCUGUUUAGAAGUGUCCCCAGUGUCACCAGUUUUCUGCAUAGAGUUCUGAGAUCUAUAUACCAACAACUGAGUGACACGAGCAGAACACACUCCCAAGUGGCGCUGCUCUGUCUCGUCAACCAAAACACUUGCUAUGAUUUUGUCCUGGUGCGUGCUAGAACAUUAUAUUAUGGUUUUGCUAGAACAUAUGGAUUUACUUCAUUAUAGCCCUAUAAUGGAGCCAGUGUGUUGGCAUCAAAGGGGCAGGAAUAACCAUGAAUGUAGGCAGGAUCAGUGUGUCUGUGGGUUUUACAGUAACACACAUACACACUGGGUUUCGGCAGUGCUGGUACUGCUGAGGAAGAGGUAACCAUUUGUUGUCUCAAUCAAUUACAGAAUGUCACUAUGACUAAUUACAUAUUCGCUGUAUACGGUGAUGUUAAGACAGUGUCACUUUGAGUCUAGAAAUAACUACAGUUGUUGCUCCCAUGUUCUUGGACACAGGAGUUAGUACUCCUCUUCAUCGUUAAUUAGGACCCAACACCAAACCAUGUGCAAUGUCAGAGUCAUAGUGACAGGUUUAUUUAUUGAAGAGAUGUUGUGGUCACCGAUACAGGUCCUGAGUUUGUUAGGUGAUUCUAAGAACCUAUGUUGCAGCUUAUACUUUGUAAAGGGGGUUUAAAGCACUGACUUAACUAGGUUAGUUAUUGUGUACAAUACACUGACCUGCUAAUCCCAUACCUAUUACAUCUCAACUUUAUAUUCUUAUCAGAUAAUUCUGUAAGAGAAAUUGGCCAGGGACACUUACAUGUAAAAUGAUACAAUUAACAAUUGGAUUCAUUAAGACUAUUUUUUUAAUGUCUUCUCACUUAAAAAUAAAAUCCCAGAUCUUCCCAGAAUUUUUUCCCCAAUCCAGUACACCUCUUGCUGCUAGAAAAAAAAUGGCUGUUUAUUGGAAACUGUGCAAUCAAACAUUGUUUGCAAAAACUGCUCCAACCUCUGUUAAUAAUCUGAUUGUUACACAAUCCUCCAACCACUCUUUAAUUUGUCUUAUGCAGUAAAAUGAUGGCCUUAAAGUCUGUGAAUAAAGAAAGCCGACCUUACAGGCUGCACCCAGCCAACAUACUUCCUUUUUACAAACCCAUGUGACAAGGCACAGGUCAUCACAUAUUAGACUGUCCAUGCGCGCCUAUAAUCCUUUCACAACAGACAGAAGUCGUAGGUGGCUGGUAAGGGUACAAGGAAGCUUUCUAACAGUGGUUCCCAACCCAGUCCUCAAGUACCCCUAACAGUCAGGAAGUUGGGGGAUUACCCAGCUGUGUUUUUAGAAAAAGAAAAACAUGUUGGACAAAACAAGGUAAUCUCUAAAUCAUGGAUUGAUAGGGGUUACUUGAGGACUGGGUUGGGAACCCCUGCUCUGACAAGUUGUACUAAAAAAAACAUCCUUCCUGUAAAUGCAUAAAUAUCAGAUUAUUGUUAAAAUAGAUCAUAUUACCCAGCAGUCCCAGAUCUGGUGACCGUUCUGAAUCAAUAAAACUAUGGUGUCGUGCUUCUUUGGACACAAAAUAGAAUCCACAAGGUACAGCGCAAAUGUGUCAUAGAACAUGUUAGUGGUUAUUUAGCUCAUAUCUGCAUAUACGAGGGCAAUUUAUCAAUGCUGCAUUCAUAGGGCACGAACAUUCGCUUUAAUCGCCAGCUGUCUAGUUUCACACAGCGGAAUUUAUUAGAAAAGCCCCUGAUGGGUCAUAUCCAUCCCACAGCGCUCAUGUCAGACAGUAAUGGUCGAAUACUACAAUACGUUUUGCAAAACAAGACCGUUCUGUUUAUAUUUCCCGGCCUGAUAGAAGAAAUUAUUCUAAGGCAAUAACUAAGUUUAAAAAAUAAGUCAAAAAGUCCUGGGAGGGAGAGUGGAAAUAUUAUUGGUCGUAUGUAUUUAUGCUUCGUUUUAAAUUGGCUCUCAAAGCACCAUAGCCACUACAAUAUGUUGUAGUUUUUAUGGUGGUAGACAUAUUACUGCAUUUCUUUUGGCUGUUGCCCAGCAGCUUGGUUAGACACUUUUCUGAACCUUCUCCUGUUUGUAUUUGUUAGGUGUUAUGUUUUGAACCAACAUCGAGGAUGCUACUAAUAAUACUUGAUUAACACUAACAUUAGCCAUACAAGAUAAGCAGAGUUAAGAACUAAACUGUGAAAUUGUGGCCACGGAGCAGGGAAUUGCAAUUUUUAUUUCAAAGUAGCCAAGUUCAGGGGAAAAAUAUGGAGUGGAAUAAAACAAUUUACAGUUUUGAGUAUUUAUGGCUUAUAAUUUGUCAAUUCCGUGGUCCAUUCCAGACAGGAUAAUCCCAUUUUAGUGGAUUUACUAAAAGUUGUAAAAGUAGAUCAAUCCCAAUUUGAGGUUUCAGCUGAUUGAUCCAGCUUUAGAAAGUGGCUUUAGAAAGAUUCUUUAAGGUCCUAGACCUACAUCAUCCUGAACACUAACAGAGUAGGCCAUUAACAUACAAGACACAAAAAAAAAAAAAAAGUUUCUGCCGAUUAGUCCAAAUCAAAAAUCCUUGUAAUCCUCAACCAAAAAAAAAAUCUAAUCGCCUAGGAUAAGACGUCACUGGUAAAUCCCAGAUUAAUCUCUUCGUUUGGGUGCAGAGUUAAAAGGAUUUUGAUUCUUUUAAAAAAAAUUUAAAAAAGGCUAAAACGCAUUUUUGCACAAGUCUAGUACACUAAUAAAAUGUCUUAAUUCUAAGAGAUAUUGAUUAAUAAAUAGUGAGAGUAGAACACUGGAGAUAUAUUACUUUUUGCCAUGAAGUGGCAUGUUUGUAUUUUUCUGCUACCCUUCCACGAUUCUUUCUAAAUGUAUACAGUUGUUUGGCAUUUGAAGACUGUACAGGAGUAAACAUGAAACGGCAAAAUGCAUCCUUGCGCUUGCUGAAGCACAACUACCUCGGAAUGUUUAUUAAAGCAGUAUCAAUGGUUCAGUGUGCUUGUUUCUCUCUUCUCCGCACCGAGACCCCAGUAUGCUAAACCUUGUCACCCACCAAGUCUUGGAAUAUUUCAGAUCUCUAUAUAAUUCCUAAAAUAAAACAAAUGCAUGUUUCAGGCUGUAGUGGAUGGAAGAUCAGCUUAAUGUAUGUAUUUAAUUAUAGCGCCAUAAAUAAAAUGGCAAAUACGCUCGAUUAACAUUCCUUCAAUAACACAUCCUCUCCCCCCCCACCAAAAAAUAUUUUGUUCUGUUUUUGAGAAGAUGGUUGAGGAUGCUACUCAAUUUGUGGCCCAAACAUUCUAAUGAAAUUCUAAUGACAGAUGCUGCACUUGUUUUCUGAUGUGCUUUAAUUUGAUUCGCUAAUGUUUUCUAAUGAAGAGUUGUUGUUGGUAAAUGUUUCUACUGAGUAACUAUCUGUGCUUUGCAGCAAUGGCACAUGGUGGUGAAACAAAUUAAAAGACGUUUGUUGGGAACCUUUUUCUUUGUGAAUGUACUUUUCAGGUUUUUUUUUUGUUUUGUUUUUUAAUUAUAUUACAUUGUAACAAUUAUAUUUCAGUAACAAUGAAAUAAGUAUACAACAUAAAUAUUACACUAAACAGAUAAAAAGAAAAUCUGGAAGGGGGUCUAUAUUAUUUUAUAAACAAUAGAAUCAAUCCCAUCAGACAUAUUAUACAAGUAUUCUUAAAAUUGUCUACAAUAUUUGACCAUACAUCAAUAAAGUCUGCGAGGAAAAUUUGCAUUUGGUUAAGUAUUGUAUUUUUCUUUAUCGAUUUCCCCCAGCCCGUGGAUUCCACACCUUUCCUAAUGUUGCACAUAUUGUAGACUAUUUUGUCAUGUUCAUAGCCCUUAUUUUCAAUAAUCAAUGAUAUCUCUUUUUUACUUGGUAUAGUAGGGGAUUUCUAAUAUCUUAGGAUAGUGGAAGUAGCUGCAAUUAGUAUGUCGGAUUAUGGAAAAUUGUUUCAUACUUACCGUAAUUUUCUUUUCUUGAUAAUUUACUCAUGGGUUAGCUCCUCCCCUUAGAGCAGAAAGGACAGGAAACAGAACUUUGAAACUGGUAUAAAUAGAUCCUCCCCCUUCCCAUCAGGCAGUCUUUGUAACUAGCUUCACAACUCCUAUAGUAUAUGGGUGGGAACGUAAUGCUGCCAUGAAUAAUUAUCAGGAAAAGAAAAUUACGGUAAGUAUGAAACAAUUUUCCAUUUUUCCUGACCAUUAUUCAUGGCAGCAUUUACUCAUGGGGAAUACCCAAGCAGUAUAUAUCGAGGGAGGGACAGAGUUCAAAAACAGCUAAUAGCUAUAAAACCAUUAUUGAGCUGUAUAAAUCUUAGAAGACUUUACAAAGCCAAACAAGAAUAAAUAUGAAAUUGUCAUAAAAUCUGCUCAGACAAGAUAAUUUUCCCUAGAGGCUGCAAGGUCAGCAACCUCCUGGCAUUCAAUAUCUGAAAUAUCCUCAAUAAAUAUAGAGCCAAAUAGGCAUUAAGGCCCUGAUAGCCUAGUCUAUAGAAGGAACAAGGCUAGAGAACCUCAAUGAAACCCAGACACAGUCUAGAAAUUAUAGAUCCAUUAUGUCAACAAGAAAGGAUAAUGUCCUUCUCUGAUAUAAAUUUAAAAUCAAAUGGAUGGCAUCAUCAAAUCAGAACCUUGACAAAGGCUUAACUUCCAGAAACCAUACUGGAACAAUCAGACACUGUUGGAUGAGAACAGUCACACCAUGCUAUUAAACAUGGGGAGAAUUACACUGAGAAUCCCACUACUUUCUGGAUGUAUUUAUUAAAGACAAUUCACAUUGCGUCCUCUUGCCUAGUGAACUACUUACCUGUAGAUACAGGAAACAAAUCAAUAUCUAUCUGCCUGUCAGAAAGAGGCAGAGCCUAGCAGAGAAAUAAGAGCCGGUUAUAAAAAAAACACUGCAACAAUGAAUAUAUAUUGCAAAAUCAGACUCACAACAAUACUACACACCGUGGAUGAAUUGAUACAGCAAUGAUCAGUUACAGGAGAGGUAUAAACCAAUAACAUUACUAGGCAAAGGCAAAAAGAAUCAUAUACAGAUUAGUUGAGGAAAAAAGAAAUAUGGGUAUGAACCAUAGAAUUUGUGGCAAAUACUAAAUUAUAAGUAGGCAAUGUAGGCCAACCACGUCAGUACCUACAUUCAAAGAUAAACAUAUUGUAAAUAGUACAGAUUAUGCCAAACGGCAUAAUCAAAUUUAUUAGAGACUGUCGUGCAACCUGAGUAGGAGAUAUGCAAUAGGCACAUUGUACAUUGUGGCAACAGACAUAAUAAGCAGGAUAGUAGAAGAUAUUCAGUUAUCCUUAUGAGAACAAACAACCGCAUACUUACUCUUACCUUAUCUUCAGAUAGUGAUGAAGUACUUAUGGCAGAGCCUAUGGUGAUAAUAAGCAACUUGUUAUAUCUGCAAGAUAUCAACACCAAUCCAAACAUAUAAUCCACAAGUAUUAAAUCAAUGCAAUGUUAGGAGUGACCAUAACUUAUACCGAUCUAGGUACAGAGACCCUGUAAAACAUAUCAGUCAAAUGUUUGUCAUCAACAAGCUGCAUUACAUUAUAUUAUGCAGGAUGAAUCAACCAUUUAAAGCCACACAUUGGUUGCAAAUUCCAGAUAUAAGGACACCUAGAAGAAUCCCCAUGAAUAUCAGAAGAGGUCCGUAAUGGAACUACCUGUUUAGGGAUUUCCUCUAUUGUUCAGGUAGCAGGUGAAUGUUACCUGAAAUAGUAAACCUGGUAGAAUGGUCUGGGGACUGGAAAGACCUUAAAAUACUUGCAAUACACAGCAUCAAAGUUACCUGGAGCAUAUGAGCCUAAAAGAAUACCUUUAUUGCAGAAAGGAAAUUAUAAUGUUCCCCUUCACAACAGGAGAAUCGGUCAGAAGUUUCUGAUCAUUAACUCCUUAAGAACCAAAAGCAUGCCACUCCUGACAUACUAAACGGGAUUGCCAAACUUUCAGGUCCCCAAGGGAUAAAAGAGAAUACUGAAUAAAAAGUAUAAAGCAGACCAGGAGUAGUGAAUUUUUCAGAGCAGAAGCUUGCAGAAAAUACAAUGAUACUAAAGUUCUGACCAGAUGAAAGAAAAAGACAAUAUUAACAGCUUUUAAAUCAGGUAAAUUAGAUUAUAGAAAGAAAAGAAAUAUAUCAGAGAAAACAGUCAGGUAAUUGUUUCAGCGUUACCUACUUAGGAGAUCAAUAAAUAGCCCAAUUUGUGCUCCUGCAACCAGCAAGAUCUACUAAGCUGUGCAUCAGCAGUCAGCACGAUCUACUAAGCUGUGCAUCAGCAAUCAGCACGAUCUACUAAGCUGUGCAUCAGUAAUCAGCACGAUCUACUAAGCUGUGCAUCAGCAAUCAGCACGAUCUACUAAGCUGUGCAUCAGCAAUCAGCACGAUCUACUAAGCUGUGCAUCAGCAAUCAGCACGAUCUACUAAGCUGUGCAUCAGCAGUCAGCACGAUCUACUAAGCUGUGCAUCAGCAGUCAGCACGAUCUACUAAGCUGUGCAUCAAUAAUCAGCAUGAUCUACUAAGCUGUGCAUCAGCAAUCAGCACGAUCUACUAAGCUGUGCAUCAGCAGUCAGCACGAUCUACUAAGCUGUGCAUCAGUAAUCAGCACGAUCUACUAAGCUGUGCAUCAGCAAUCAGCACGAUCUACUAAGCUGUGCAUCAGCAGUCAGCACGAUCUACUAAGCUGUGCAUCAGCAAUCAGCACGAUCUACUAAGCUGUGCAUCAGCAGUCAGCACGAUCUACUGCUUUCGUGCGCAUCAAUAAUAAUCAGCAUGAUCUACUGGCUGCAUCAGCAAUCAGCACGACUACUGCUCGUGCAUCAAAGCAGUCAGCACGCAUCUACUAAGCUGCGUAAUCAGCAAUCAAAGCACCUGACCUACUAAGCUGCAUCGUUAAAUCAAAGCACCCAUCUACCAAGCCAGCAUCAAGUAAUCAUACCCAUCUACCGUUGCGCAUCAGCAAUCAGCACGAUCUACUAAGCUGUGCAUCAGCAAUCAGCACGAUCUACUAAGCUGUGCAUCAGCAAUCAGCACGAUCUACUAAGCUGUGCAUCAGCAAUCAGCACAAUCUACUAAGCUGUGCAUCAGCAGUCAGCACGAUCUACUAAGCUGUGCAUCAGCAAUCAGCACGAUCUACUAAGCUGUGCAUCAGUAAUCAGCACGAUCUACUAAGCUGUGCAUCAGCAAUCAGCACGAUCUACUAAGCUGUGCAUCAGCAAUCAGCACGAUCUACUAAGCUGUGCAUCAAUAAUCAGCAUGAUCUACUAAGCUGUGCAUCAGUAAUCAGCAUGAUCUACUAAACUGUGCAUCAGCAAUCAGCAUAUAUCUGAAGGUAAAACACUGCCACCAAUUGAAGAAACAUUCCCUAUCUUGUACAGAGAGGAGAGGAUGCCUGGCAAUAGAAACCCUUAUGUAGAAUGGUCUCAUGUAUAAUUACAUAGGUAUGCACACAAAAAACAACAUUGAUUAUGUUAGACAUUACCAUGCUCCACUUUGGAAAUUCAGGUCUCCUUCUCUCCUGGGAGAGGCGCUCAGACAGGUUCAGUAACACUUGCAAUCUAUUUGAAGUGGUAAAAUGUGUUAAUUGCUUAUCCUGAAACACCUGUCGGAGAAGGAAUAUAAUACAAAGCCAAAAGCAGUUUGUUUCCUUAUCUACUUCAUUUAAAAAACUGAAAUAGAAAAUCCACAGUAGGCAAUAGUUACUUACCCAGUAGAACAGGGCAUUUGUAUUUGCUAGAACUGGGCAGUGCUACAUUUCAGCGCAAAACAGACAUUAGAUUAUUUGUAUAUAUUAAAUCUACCAAUGCCGUGUAUAAAUUGGGGUUAUAUAAUACUACCAACCUGCAUACAGAUUAUAUGAAUCACAUACAUUGUGGAUGUUUCUGACAGCACCUUAUGCCCAGAUAUAUCAGUUACAUAUACUGAGUCUGUUUAAACAGUAAUCAUACAUAGCCUACCUCUGCUAUAUACAGUGACACUAUGCCUGCACACAUAUUAAGAUUAUUUGAGCGAGCUAAAUUGAGGCUGUGUUUUAACAGAGCUUCAUGCACAUAUUAUACCACUCACAUAUACUGAGGUUGUGACUAACAACCACACAUAGAACUUGUAUUAGAUUGGACUCAUAGAGGAUGUACUUAUAUAAUUCACAUAUAUUGUGUUUCCACUAAUACAUCAAUCAUAUAGAGAACAGAUACACUGAAGCAAUGUCUCCACACCACCUUACAUAUAGAAGACAUAUACUGAGGCUGUGUAUUCACAGCAACACAGAGCAUAUAAAGAACACAAACUGAGGAAGAGUCUUCAGAUCAACUCAUACAUAGACAAUAUAGUGGGUACAAAUACUGAGGUGAUGUCCUCAUAGAAUUCAUACAUAGAGCAUAUAGUGCAUACAUAUACAUAGAAACAUAGAAUGUGACGGCAGAUAAGAACCAUUCGGCCCAUCUAAUCUGCCCAAUAUUUCUAAAUACUUUCAUUAGUCCCUGGCCUUAUCUUAUAGUUAGGAUAGCCUUAUGCCUAUCCCACGCAUGAUUAAACUCCUUUACUGUGUUAUACUGAGGCAGCACCCUCAUUGUAGCUCAUACAUAGAGCAUAUAGUGGGUACAUAUACUGAGGCUGUGUCCUCACAGUAACUCAUACAUAGAGCAUAUAGUGGGUACAUAUACUGAGGCUGUGUCCUCACUGUAACUCAUACAUAGAGCAUAUAGUGGGUAGAUAUACUGAGGCUGUGUCCUCAUAGUAACUCAUACAUAGAGCAUAUAGUGGGUAGAUAUACUGAGGCUGUGUCCUCACAGUAACCCAUACAUAGAGCAUAUAGUGGGUACAUAUACUGAGGCUGUGUCCUCACUGUAACUCAUACAUAGAGCAUAUAGUGGGUACAUAUACUGAGGCUGUGUCCUCACUGUAACUCAUACAUAGAGCAUAUAGUGGGUACAUAUACAGAGGCUGUGUCCUCACAGUAACUCAUACAUAGAGCCUAUAGUGGGUACAUAUACUGAGGCUGUGUCCUCACAGUAACUCAUACAUAGAGCAUAUAGUGGGUACACAUACUGAGGCUGUGUCCUUAUUGUAACUCAUACAUAGAGCAUAUAGUGGGUACAUAUACUGAGGCUGUGUCCUCACUGUAACUCAUACAUAGAGCAUAUAGUGGGUACAUAUACUGAGGCUGUGUCCUCACAGUAACUCAUACAUAGAGCCUAUAUUGGGUACAUAUACUGAGGCUGUGUCCUUAUUGUAACUCAUACAUAGAGCAUAUAGUGGGUACAUAUACUGAGGCUGUGUCCUCACUGUAACCUCAUACACAGAGCACACAUAGUGGGAUGGGCCAUUAAGGGCCUCGAGGCUGUAACCCCAUUGUAACUCAUACAUAGAGCAUAUAGUGGCACACAUACUGAGUAGCUGUGUCCCAUUGUAACCAUACAUAGAGCAUAAAGGAAGUGGGGCACAUAUACUGAGGCUGAAGUCCUCAAUGCACCUCAUACAUAGAGCAUAUAGUGGGUGCUACAUACUGAGGCUACUGUGUCCUCACAGUAACUCAUACAUAGAGCAUAGUGGAUACAUAUACUGAGGCUGUGUCCUUAUUGUAACUCAUACAUAGAGCAUAUAGUGAGUACAUAUACUGAGGCUGUGUCCUCACGGUAACUCAUACAUAGAGCAUAUAGUGGGUACAUAUACUGAGGCUGUGUCCUCAUUGUAACUCAUACAUAGAGCAUAUAGUGAGUACAUAUACUGAGGCUGUGUCCUCACAGUAACUCAUACAUAGAGCAUAUAGUGGGUACAUAUACUGAGGCAGUGUCCUCACAGUAACUCAUACAUAGAGCAUAUAGUGGGUACAUAUACUGAGGCUGUGUCCUCACAGUAACUCACACAUACAGCAUAUAGUGGGUACAUAUACUGAGGCUGUGUCCUCACAGUAACUCAUACAUAGAGCAUAUAGUGGGUACACAUACUGAGGCUGUGUCCUUAUUGUAACUCAUACAUAGAGCAUAUAGUGGGUACAUAUACUGAGGCUGUGUCCUCACUGUAACUCAUACAUAGAGCAUAUAGUGGGUACAUAUACUGAGGCUGUGUCAUCACAGUAACUCAUACAUACAGCAUAUAGUGGGUACAUAUACUGAGGCUGUGUCCUGACAGUAACUCAUACAUAGAGCAUAUAGUGGGUACAUAUANNNNNNNNNNNNNNNNNNNNNNNNNNNNNNNNNNNNNNNNNNNNNNNNNNNNNNNNNNNNNNNNNNNNNNNNNNNNNNNNNNNNNNNNNNNNNNNNNNNNUGGCUGACCAGUCCCAUAACGAUCAGUUAGAUAUGGAUUACGACUGAAUUGAUUGAAUUCUCAAAGUAUGUUUCAAAACCCAGGACCUGGAUUCAUUUUCUGUAAAGUAAAUUUUUUGGUGCUGGUAUUGCCUUUACUGCAUUAAAAUGGUUCGUUUAUAAUAUAAUAGUACUGUCCCUUUUUAUUGAAGGUAAGACUUUGACCCAGUAGUGUUAAAUAGAUCCACCAUUUUUUCUGAAUCAAAUAACCAGUGCGAGAUCCCAUUAGUGAUUAAUGAGUUUGCUACUAGCUAUAAGGUUGCACUUUUAAUAUGCUGCGUCAAUGUUUAUACACGAUAUACAUCCUGGAAUAUGCUGGCCCUUGUUACUGGUGUUUCAUUCAGAAGUGGAAUUCAUUACCUUUAAUUUUUCCUGAUGCAAAACCUGAUCCUUUAUGAUUUGGGACUUCAUUUAAAGUGUACCUGUCCUGGUAAUACAAGUUUAUUUAAAAUUUGAACCACAUAAAAUGUCUGCUAAAUAUUCCGUGAUCAGAAUCACUAGUCAAUAUAUAGAUUUGAUGACCUGUUUAGAAGUGUCCCCAGUGUCACCAGUUUUCUGCAUAGAGUUCUGAGAUCUAUAUACCAACAACUGAGUGACACGAGCAGAACACACUCCCAAGUGGCGCUGCUCUGUCUCGUCAACCAAAACACUUGCUAUGAUUUUGUCCUGGUGCGUGCUAGAACAUUAUAUUAUGGUUUUGCUAGAAGAUAUGGAUUUACUCCAUUAUAGCCCUAUAAUGGAGCCAGUGUGUUGGCAUCAAAGGGGCAGGAAUAACCAUGAAUGUAGGCAGGAUCAGGGUGUCUGUGGGUUUUACAGUAACACGCAUACACAGUGGGUUUCGGCAGUGCUGGUACUGCUGAGGAAGAGGUAACCGUUUGUUGUCUCAUUAAUCAAUUGCAGAAUGUCACUAUGACAAAUUACAUAUUCGCUGUAUACGGUGAUGUCCUUGUAUGUUAAGACAGUGUCACUUUGAGUCUAGAAAUAACUACAGUUGUUGCUCCCAUGUUCUUGGACACAGGAGUUAGUACUCCUCUUCAUCGUUAAUUAGGACCCAACACCAAACCAUGUGCAAUGUCAGAGUCAUAGUGACAGGUUUAUUUAUUGAAGAGAUGUUGUGGUCACCAAUACAGGUCCUGAGUUUGUUAGGCGAUUCUAAGAACCUAUGUUGCAGCUUAUACUUUGUAAAGGGGGUUUAAAGCACUGACUUAACUAGGUUAGUUAUCAUCUACAAGGUGUGUACAAUACACUGACCUGCUAAUCCCAUACCUAUUACAUCUCAACUUUAUAUUCUUAUCAGAUAAUUCUGUAAGAGAAAUUGGCCAGGGACACUUACAUGUAAAAUGAUACAAUUGGAUUAAUUAAGACUAUUUUUUAAUGUCUUCUCACUUAAAAAUAAAAUCCCAGAUCUUCCCAGAAUUCUUUCCCCAAUCCAGUACACCUCUUGCUGCUAGAAAAAAAUGGCUGUUUAUUGGAAACUGUGCAAUCAAACAUUGUUUGCCAAAACUGCUCCAACCUCUGUUAAUAAUCUGAUUGCUACACAAUCCUCCAACCACUCUUUAAUUUGUCUUAUGCAGUAAAAUGAUGGCCUUAAAGUCUGUGAAUAAAGAAAGCUGACCUUACAGGCUGCACCCGGCCAACAUACUUCCUUUUUACAAACCCAUGUGACAAGGCACAGGUCAUCACAUAUUAGACCUCUGGCUGUCCAUGCGCACCUAUAAUCCUUUCACAACCACAACAGACAGAAGUUGUAGGUGGCUGGUAAGGGUACAAGGAAGCUUUCUAACAGUGGUUCCCAACCCAGUCCUCAAGUACCCCUAACAGUCAGGAAGUUGGGGAUUGCCCAGCUGUGUUUUUAGAAAAAGAAAAAAACAUGUUGGACACAACAAGGUAAUCUCUAAAUCAUGGAUUGAUAGGGGGUACUUGAGGACUGGGUUGGGAACCCCUGCUCUGACAAGUUGUACUAAAAAAAAAUAAUCCUUCCUGUAAAUGCAUAAAUAUCAUAUUAUUGUUAAAAUAGAUCAUAUUACCCAGCAGUCCCAGAUCUGGUGACCGUUCUGAAUCAAUAAAACCAUGGUGUGGUGCUUCUUUGGACACAAAAUAGAAUCCACAAGGUACAGCGCAAAUGUGUCAUAGAACAUGUUAGUGGUUAUUUAGCUCAUAUCUGCAUAUACGAGGGCAAUUUAUCAAUGCUGCAUUCAUAGGGCACGAACAUUCGCUUUAAUCGCCAGCUGUCUAGUUUCACACAGCUGAAUUUAUUAGAAAAGCCCCUGAUGGGUCAUAUCCAUCCCACAGCGCUCAUGUCAGACAGUAAUAGUCGAAUACUACAAUACGUUUUGCAAAACAAGACAGUUCUGUUUAUAUUUCCCCGGCCUGAUAGAAGAAAUUAUUCUAAGGCAAUAACUAAAUUUAAAAAAUAAGUCAAAAAGUCCUGGGAGGGAGAGUGGAAAUAUUAUUGGUCGUAUGUAUUUAUGCUUCGUUUUAAAUUGGCUCUCAAAGCACCAUAGCCACUACAAUAUGUUGUAGUUUUUAUGGUGGUAGACAUAUUACUGCAUUUCUUUUGGCUGUUGCCCAGCAGCUUGGUUAGACACUUUUCUGAACCUUCUCCUGUUUGUAUUUGUUAGGUGUUAUGUUUUGAACCAACAUCGAGGAUGCUACUAAUAAUACUUGAUUAACACUAACAUUAGCCAUACAAGAUAAGCAGAGUUAAGAACUAAACUGUGAAAUUGUGGCCACGGAGCAGGGAAUUGCAAUUUUUAUUUCAAAGUAGCCAAGUUCAGGGGAAAAAUAUGGAGUGGAAUAAAACAAUUUACAGUUUUGAGUAUUUAUGGCUUAUAAUUUGUCAAUUCCGUGGUCCAUUCCAGACAGGAUAAUCCCAUUUUAGUGGAUUUACUAAAAGUUGUAAAAGUAGAUCAAUCCCAAUUUGAGGUUUCAGCUGAUUGAUCCAGCUUUAGAAAGUGGCUUUAGAAAGAUUCUUUAAGGUCCUAGACCUACAUCAUCCUGAACACUAACAGAGUAGGCCAUUAACAUACAAGACACAAAAAAAAAAAAAAAGUUUCUGCCGAUUAGUCCAAAUCAAAAAUCCUUGUAAUCCUCAACCAAAAAAAAAAUCUAAUCGCCUAGGAUAAGACGUCACUGGUAAAUCCCAGAUUAAUCUCUUCGUUUGGGUGCAGAGUUAAAAGGAUUUUGAUUCUUUUAAAAAAAAUUUAAAAAAGGCUAAAACGCAUUUUUGCACAAGUCUAGUACACUAAUAAAAUGUCUUAAUUCUAAGAGAUAUUGAUUAAUAAAUAGUGAGAGUAGAACACUGGAGAUAUAUUACUUUUUGCCAUGAAGUGGCAUGUUUGUAUUUUUCUGCUACCCUUCCACGAUUCUUUCUAAAUGUAUACAGUUGUUUGGCAUUUGAAGACUGUACAGGAGUAAACAUGAAACGGCAAAAUGCAUCCUUGCGCUUGCUGAAGCACAACUACCUCGGAAUGUUUAUUAAAGCAGUAUCAAUGGUUCAGUGUGCUUGUUUCUCUCUUCUCAGCACCGAGACCCCAGUAUGCUAACCCUUAUCACCCACCAAGUCUUGGAAUAUUUCAGAUCUCUGUAUAAUUCCUAAAAUAAAACAAAUGCAUGUUUCAGGCUGUAGUGGAUGGAAGAUCAACUUAAUGUAUGUAUUUAAUUAUAGCGCCAUAAAUAAAAUGGCAAAUACGCUCGAUUAACAUUCCUUCAAUAACACAGGCCCCAACCCAUCCUCUCUCCCCGCUUUUGAGAAGAUGGUUGAGGAUGCUACUCAAUUUGUGGCCCAAACAUUCUAAUGAAAUUCUAAUGGCAGAUGCUGCCAGAGUUGUUGUUGGUAAAUGUUUCUACGGAGUAACUAUCUGUGCUUUGCAGCAAUGGCACAUGAUGGUGAAACAAAUUAAAAGAUGUUUGUUGGGAACCUUUUUCUUUGUUUUUCUUUGUGAAUGUACUUUUAAGGUUUUUUUUUGUUUUGUUUUUUAGUUAUAUUAUAUUGUAACAAUUAUAUUUCAGUAACAAUGAAAUAAGUAUACAACAUAAAUAUUACACUAAACAGAUAAAAUGAAAAUCUGGAAGGGGGUCUAUAUUAUUUUAUAAACAAUAGAAUCAAUCCCAUCAGACAUAUUAUACAAGUAUUCUUAAAAUUGUCUACAAUAUUUGACCAUACAUCAAUAAAGUCUGCGAGGAAAAUUUCCAUUUGGUUA
rnacentral:lncRNA from 1 species